rnacentral:rRNA from 1 species
GACGAACGCUGGCGGCGUGCCUAACACAUGCAAGUCGAACGGAAAGGCCCUGCUUUUGUGGGGUGCCCGAGUGGCGAACGGGUGAGUAACACGUGAGUAACCUGCCCUUGACUUUGGGAUAACUUCAGGAAACUGGGGCUAAUACCGGAUAGGAGCUCCUGCUGCAUGGUGGGGGUUGGAAAGUUUCGGCGGUUGGGGAUGGACUCGCGGCUUAUCAGCUUGUUGGUGGGGUAGUUGCUUACCAAGGCUUUGACGGGUAGCCGGCCUGAGAGGGUGACCGGCCACAUUGGGACUGAGAUACGGCCCAGACUCCUACGGGAGGCAGCAGUGGGGAGUAUUGCACAAUGAGCGGAAGCCUGAUGCAGCAGCGCCGCGUGCGGGAUGACGGCCUUCGGGUUGUAAACCGCUUUCGCCUGUGACGAAGCGUGAGUGACGGUAAUGAGUAAAGAAGCACCGGCUAACUACGUG